AUUCAUGCUCCCUCUGUGACGUGGAAAAUUCCCAUUGCUGCACUACUCUGGGGACACAGGACCCUGAACUCACAGCGCUGACGAUAUGUCCCAGUGAUAUGAAAUUGCAUGUGAUCUGUUCAAAUGGACAGAAAAAACACACGGACAGAGAAAACACAUAGUCAAACUUGUUCACGGGGGAGCCAGAUACAGCUCAGGAGAAAUACGUUCCAAGUGACAGCAUCUUUGACAACCUGUACUUUUUGUUCUACCUUUUGUUCUUCUUGCUGUGAAAAGCCACGUGAUGAAGAUUGCUGGAGAACAUUGAUACUUUCCCUGCUUAUGUUUAAAAAAAAAGAAAAAAAACCCACAGAAAUAACUGUGUACUUCCCAAAGGGUCAGAUUGAGUCUUCAACAGCAACAUCCACUGAAAGGCUCUGCAUCUCUGAAACAGCCUGGGGAAGGUCUUAUCCUUGUCAGGAUGUAUCAGAACCAAGCAGUAGGGCACUGAACAGUAUUCCUUACUCUAGUGCUAACAAAACUUCUCACUGUAAGCUAAUAAGUCUAUACAGCACCAUGGAAAUGCCUCACGCUGUUUUUGUCUUUGUUCAAUAUUCUUUUUCCUAUUUGCGAAAUGAUAGAGUGAUGUAGAGAAAGGCAUAUUCCAAGAAUAUGGACUGUGCUUCUUAACCCCAUAGCUUUUGAAUUCUUGAAUUGGAACAACAUUUUCAUUUUAAGAAUUUCAAACUUUUGAGCUUUGCCUUAAUUGCACCUACAUCCAAAGCCAGCAGGCACUUAUGAAUGUAUUUAACUUUACUCAUGUGACCAGUGAUAAGCUCAAAUGCAAAUAAUUUUUGAGAGGCUUUUCCACUGCCCUUAUCUCUGGUAGUGUAGGCUCUCACAAGAAUAAUGAAUUUUCUUCAUGGAUACCCAGUGAGAUAAAGCAAUGUUAUUAUUCCAUUGUACAACUAGGAGAAAUGACACAGA
rnacentral:lncRNA from 1 species